GAGAUAAGCUGUCUCUAUUAUAAUAGCAUGAAAUUUUCCUUUAAGUGAAAAGACUUAGAUUUUUUUAAAAGACGAGAAGACCCUAUCGAACUUAAUAGUUUUUAAAAAUAAUAAUUUAAAAAGAAGUUUUACUGGGGCAGUAAGAAGAAAAAAAUAAUUCUUCCUUAGAAAAAAGAUCCCUUAUUAAGGACAAAAGAAAAAGUUACCGUAGGGAUAACAGCGUUAUCGUUUUUAAGAGAACUAAUCGAAGAAACGGUUUGCGACCUCGAUGUUGGAUUUAAAUUUCUUCCUUGGCGCAGUAGUUUGGAAAGUAGGUCUGUUCGCCCUU
rnacentral:rRNA from 1 species